rnacentral:rRNA from 1 species
UGAUUAGCUAGUUGGUAAGGUAACGGCUUACCAAGGCGACGAUCAGUAGCCGACCUGAGAGGGUGAUCGGCCACAUUGGAACUGAGACACGGUCCAAACUCCUACGGGAGGCAGCAGUGGGGAAUAUUGCACAAUGGGCGAAAGCCUGAUGCAGCAACGCCGCGUGAGUGAUGAAGGCCUUCGGGUCGUAAAACUCUGUCCUCAAGGAAGAUAAUGACGGUACUUGAGGAGGAAGCCCCGGCUAACUACGUGCCAGCAGCCGCGGUAAUACGUAGGGGGCUAGCGUUAUCCGGAUUUACUGGGCGUAAAGGGUGCGUAGGCGGUCUUUCAAGUCAGGAGUGAAAGGCUACGGCUCAACCGUAGUAAGCUCUUGAAACUGGGAGACUUGAGUGCAGGAGAGGAGAGUGGAAUUCCUAGUGUAGCGGUGAAAUGCGUAGAUAUUAGGAGGAACACCAGUUGCGAAGGCGGCUCUCUGGACUGUAACUGACGCUGAGGCACGAAAGCGUGGGGAGCAAACAGGAUUAGAUACCCUGGUAGUCCACGCUGUAAACGAUGAGUACUAGGUGUCGGG